UACGUAGGGGGCGAGCGUUGUCCGGAUUUAUUGGGCGUAAAGAGCGUGUAGGCGGUUCGGUAAGUCUGUCGUGAAAUCCUGAGGCUCAACCUCGGACGUGCGAUGGAUACUGCCGGGCUAGAGGAUGGUAGAGGCGAGUGGAAUUCCCGGUGUAGCGGUGAAAUGCGCAGAUAUCGGGAGGAACACCAGUAGCGAAGGCGGCUCGCUGGGCCAUUCCUGACGCUGAGACGCGAAAGCUAGGGGAGCGAACAGG
rnacentral:rRNA from 1 species